GGUUCUGGCUCAGCGGUAGAGUGCCUGCCUAGCACACACGAGGCCCUGGGUUCAAUCCUCAGCACCA
rnacentral:tRNA from 1 species